GCAUCGGAAACAUUGCAAUCUGAUGUGGGUUGAAUGUGUUCUUUCUUUGGAAGAGCACAAGGAGAAUGGUAGUUUGAUUUCUGGCAGGGUUCUUGUUAGAAAACGAGAACCUGCAAAGUUCCAACGCCCCUCGUGAUGUGUUUGAAAGUUGUUCAAACAUGAUUCUUUAGAGGAAGUAAAAGUCGUAACAAGGUUUCCUUAGGUGAACCUGAGGAUGGAUCAUUA
rnacentral:ncRNA from 1 species